rnacentral:lncRNA from 10 species
AGACAUCUUCUAUCUACUUUUACUAGGUAAUGUUCUCACAUAGUACAAAAUUCAAAAGGUGCAAAUGGGUCAGAGUGGAGAGUACAUCUUGCUUCUUUUAUUGUAUAGCCUUCCAGAGAGAACUUAUCUAUGCCUAGUAGGCAUAUAUGUGUUUAUAUAUUUAUAUACAUAUUUAGAUAUUUAGAUUGGUAGAUGAUAGAUCAUUUAAAUUUUUUUUUGCAAAAACAGGUCCAUACUAGCUGCACUUAUUUCUAGGAAGCACUUUCCAUCAGCCAGAGGGAUAGAAAUGAGGUGUGGGGAGGUAAAAAGGAAGUGACCUGUCCCACAGUGAAUCUGCAGAAAAGCCAGUGAAGACCAGGUGGAUGAAAAUGAGGCUGGGGCCAUGCCCAUGGGGAGAUGUUGGACGAUGCUUGAGUGCAAGAUGGCAGCAGGCCGGGAGAGGCCCAGAAGAGAACUCACCACGCCGUGGGGGGCUCAAAGCUGGCCCUGGGGACAGGAGGUGGCAACUGGUGUCUGACCCCCUAAACCUGGUGCCUCCACU